GCGCGAAAACUUUGCAAUGCGGGAAACCGUGACAAGGGAACUCUGAGUGCCCGUUAAAUCGGGCUGUCCAUCGGUUUAAAUAACCGGUGAAGAAAGGGCCGGGCAAGACCGGUGCCAGCCGCCGCGGUAAUACCGGCGGCUCGAGUGGUGGCCACUAUUACUGGGCUUAAAGCGUUCGUAGCUGGUUUGUUAAGUCUCUGGGGAAAUCUUCCGGCUUAACCGGAAGGCGUUUCAGGGAUACUGGCAGACUAGGGACCGGGAGAGGUGAGAGGUACUCCAGGGGUAGGAGUGAAAUCCUGUAAUCCUUGGGGGACCACCUGUGGCGAAGGCGUCUCACCAGAACGGCUCCGACAGUGAGGGACGAAAGCUGGGGGAGCAAACCGGAUUAGAAACCCUGGU
rnacentral:rRNA from 1 species